rnacentral:rRNA from 1 species
UCUGGUUGAUCCUGCCAUAGUCAUAAUGUUUGUCUCAAAAGAUUAAGCCAUGCAUGUCUACGUUCACACCCUCGUAAGGUGAAACCGCGAAAUGGCUCAUUAAAUCAGUCGAGGUUCCUUAGAUGAUCCUUUCUACUUGGAUAACUGUGGCAAUUCUAGAGCUAAUACAUGCAAACAAGCUCCACCCGGUGCCACAGCCGGGAAAGAGCGCUUUUAUUAGUUCAAAACCAGUCGGCGGUUUCGGCUUCCGUCCCUUUUGGUGACUCUGGAUAUAACUUUGUGACGAUCGCAUGGCCUCGAGCCGGCGACGCAUCUUUCAAAUGUCUGCCUUAUCAACUGUCGAUGGUACGUGAUAGGCCUACAUGUUGCUACGGGUAACGGGGAAUCAGGGUUCGAUUCCGCGAAGAGGGCAUGAGAAAACGAGCUACCACAUCCAAGGAAGGCAGCAGGCGCGCAACUUACCCACUCCCGGCUAGGGGAGGUAGUGACGAAAAUAAUACGGACACUCCGUAAUUGGAAUGAGUACACUUUAAACCCUUUAACGAGGAUCUAUUGGAGGGCAAGUCUAGUGCCAGCAGCCGCGGUAAUUCCAGCUCCAAUAGCGUAUUUUAAAGUUGUUGCGAUUUAAAAAGCUCAGGCAUGGGCGUGCGUCCGUCUCGCGACGGUCACUGCGCGAAAGCUCGGGCGGCGGGCUCUUCGCAGGGUCUCGUUCGUCUUUGGGGUCCCAUCCAUCCGUUUAUCUCCGGUCUCUCCGUCCAUGGUGCUCUUCGCUGAGCGUUUAUGGCGGCCGGAACGUUUACUUUGAAGAAAUUAGAGUGUUCAAAGCAGGCUCGUCAAGCACUGAAUAAUGGUGCAUGGAAUAAUGGAAUAGGACCUCGUGUUCUAUUUUGCUGAUUUUUUGGAAACACCGAGGUAUAUGAUUAAGAGGAGACAGACGGGGGCAUCCGUAUUGCGGUGUUAGAGGUGAAAUUGUUGGAAUCAUCGCAAGACGAACAACUGCGAAAGCAUUUUGCCAAGCAAUGUUUCAUAGUCAACGAACGAAAGUCAGAGGUUCGAAGACGAAUCAGAUACCGUCGUAGUUCUGACCAUAAAACGAUGCCAACUAGCGAUCCGCAGGUGUUGCUUCAUCGACUCUGCGGGGCAGCUUCCGGAAACCAAAGUUUUCGGGUUCGCGGGAAGUAUGGUUUGCAAAGCUGAAACUUAAAGGAAUUGACGGAAGGUCACCACCAGGAGUGGAGCCUGCGGCUUAAUUUCACUCAACACGGGAAACUCACCCGGUCGGACACUGUAAGGAUUGACAGAUUGAUAUAGCCUCUUUCUUGAUUUGGUGGGUGGUGGUGCGAUGGCCGUUUCUUAGGUGGUGGAGCGAUUUGUCUGGUUAAUUCCGAUAACGAACGAGACUCUAGCCUGCUAAAUACUUCACCGAUUCUUCACGCGUCAGUGCUAACUUCUUAGAGGGACAAGUGGCGUUUAGCCACACGAGAUUGAGCAAUAACAGGUUCUUGAUGCCCUUAGAUGCGGUCCGGAGGCUGCGAUACACGCCGCGGUCUUCACAGCCGCGGCGGUGGUGAAGCAACAGGAAGGGGUCAUCAGCCGCUCGGGCCGAGCAGUGCGCGGCGGGGACCAGAACGAUAUUCACCCUAUGCGAUGUGGAGAUGCCAAAUCAUUCGUAGACGACCUAGUUCUCGGUCUAGGUGUCGUACUUAGUAGAGCAGCCACCUCGCUGCGAUCUAUUGAGACUGAGCCUUGGACCAGGAGAUUUGUCCGCAUUUGCAGACGGACGCAUCUCCGACGAUGGGCUCGAGUCUCUCUCUCCUUCUUCCGUACCAAAGGGGGAAAGGUGGUGAUUGUAGCAGCAGCAGCACACC